rnacentral:SRP_RNA from 1 species
CUGUGCUAGGCGGGGAGCCAGCGGUGCCCUGAACCCGCAAUCCGCUAUAGCGGGGCUGAACGUCUUUCGAGGCCUGCCGUAUGGUUGGCUGCGCGCGGCAAGGAACGUUGAUAACAAGGUCUUAUGCAACGAACGCCCGUGAACCGUGUCAGGAUAGGGAUAUAGCAGCACUAAGCGGACACGUUCGUGUGCCAUGAGGAAGCUUUGAAGUAGUAACCUACCGCGUUACCGCUUCGGUGCGGCUUGUCGAAAAAGAAUGCACAG